rnacentral:lncRNA from 10 species
CGCUGCUGGCCCGCUCUCUGAGGAGCUUUCAAUACUUUGGGGUCAAGUUUGAGGCAGUUGUAACUGUACUGAGUUUAGUUUUGCUAAUAAUGGUAUUCUACGUGUGUCAGCCUCGUGUGGACUUCUGUAAUGACUAAUGGAUAUGUUUAUAUCCUGAGCAUUUGCUGUAGGAAUUUUAAAUGCAAUCCCAAAACUCAAGAUUACCUUAUUUGGAGAAAUAUUCGUGUUACUAUGUUUAAAAUUUAAUAGAACCAUAUUUUACCUUUCACUUUGGGACUCGCACAGGAUGUUUGCAGCUCUUGAUAUACAGGAACUAGAACGUGUCUUUUAAGAGCAUGCGGUUUUAUAAUUACGUGGAAGUAUGCUACGCAAGGGAAAAAAGCCUCUUGCUAAUGCUUUGAUGUCUUAAAUGGUACAUCCAAACUUAAGUGAAAUAGAGCUGUGAGGACAUUUUGGGGAGAAGUGACCUAGAUAAGCACUGACUGUUGCAUUCAUCUCUCUUCUUGCUGAUUGUGAUGAUUUCCUGUGCCAUAGCCAUUCAAAGUCUGCCAAAAAAGGCCUUGCCUCCUGGAUGGCAUUUUUGAACCCACCCUGGGCCAGAGGGGAGCCCACUUCUUUGAAGACAGAAACACAGGACUGGCAACAUUUACCAUAAGCUGACUGAGCAGCCAUUGGGCCUUGAGUGAACAUUGGUGGUAGCCAGGCAGUACUUGUCUCAGUACUUGCCUCAGGCCUGGGGUGUCGGUGACCACAGGGAGAGCAUCCAUCUGCUUGAGGAAAGGAGAACAAAGAAAAUAAAGGGCUUAAUCUUGCACUUGAUUGCCAGCUCAGCCAUAGUAGAAUACAGCACCAAGUAAAUUCCUAAGGAUCCUGAUUCCAGGUCCUGGCUCCCAGAUGACAUUUUAGGACUUGUCUUGGGCUUAGGGGGAGCUCGUCAUACUGAAGGGAAAAACACAAGCCUGGCUGGAUUUGCCACCAGCUGAAUAAAGAGUGCUUGGGCCUUGAGUGAACAUUGGCAAUAGCCAAGGAGUGGUCACCAUGGACCUUAGGCAAGAAACCCGGUGCCGUGCUGGCUUUGGAUCUGACCCAGCAUAAUCUCACUGGUAUUUUACUUCUUGUCCAUUUACUUUUUAGUUUAUCAUACACACCAUGUUUACUAGUACUAAAACUGUCUUAAAAUAUUGCAAUUUUGACCCUUUUUCUAAUUGACCUUUAUGUUUUUACAAGCACAUUUUAUUACAUAUGAAUGAGACUUUACUAUGUUAUAUGUAACUCUUAAUUCUGUAAAUAAUAGAUUGCUUAUCUGAAAUAUAGCUGAUAUUUGUUUCUUAAUUAUUUGGCUAUUCCCUAUAUGUUAUACUCUACUAAAGAUCAUGGGAUUUAGAUUCAGAAAACUUACUUCCUAGCUCUUAUUAUUUCUGUGAUCUUGCAAAAGAAAACAAAAAUGAACCAUUGUUUUUUUAUCUGUAACAGGAAAUGUACUUCACAGGAUUGUAAUGAGAAUUAAA